AGAGUUUGAUCCUGGCUCAGAAUGAACGUUGGCGGCGUGGAUUAGGCAUGCAAGUCGAGCGAGAACCCCGCAAGGGGGGACAGCGGCGAAAGGGACAGUAAUGUGUAGAUUAUCUGCCCUCAGGUCCGGGAUAGCUGCGGGAAACUGCAGGUAAUACCGGAUAACAUCUCCGGAUCAAAGGUGUGAUUCCGCCUGAGGAUGAGUCUACAUCCUAUUAGCUAGUUGGCGAGGUAAUGGCUCACCAAGGCUUUGAUGGGUAGCGGGUGUGAGAGCACGACCCGCGUCAUUGGGACUGAGACACUGCCCAGACACCUACGGGUGGCUGCAGUCGAGAAUCUUCGGCAAUGGGCGCAAGCCUGACCGAGCGACGCCGCGUGUGGGAUGAAGGCCUUCGGGUUGUAAACCACUGUCAGAGGGGAUGAAAUGCAGGUGGGUUCUCCCAUCUGUUUGACAUAGCCUCAGAGGAAGGACGGGCUAAGUUCGUGCCAGCAGCCGCGGUAAGACGAACCGUCCAAACGUUAUUCGGAAUCACUGGGCUUAAAGGGUGCGUAGGCGGCGCGGAAAGUUGGGUGUGAAAUCCCUCGGCUCAACCGAGGAACUGCGCCCAAAACUACCGUGCUCGAGGGAGAUAGAGGUGAGCGGAACUUAGGGUGGAGCGGUGAAAUGCGUUGAUAUCCUAAGGAACACCGGCGGCGAAAGCGGCUCACUGGAUCUCUUCUGACGCUGAGGCACGAAAGCUAGGGUAGCGAACGGGAUUAGAUACCCCGGUAGUCCUAGCCGUAAACGAUGAGCACUGGAUUGGAGGGUCCUCCAUAGCCUUCCAGUCGCAACGAAAGCGUUAAGUGCUCCCCUGGGGAGUAUGGUCGCAAGGCUGAAACUCAAAGGAAUUGACGGGGCUCCCACAAGCGUGAGAUUUGCUUAUCGAGCUACGCGAAGACUUAUUCUAGUCUUGACUGCACGAUUACUCCCUGAAAGGGGAGCAGCUUCGUACAACUGCACAGUGCUGCAUGCUGUCGUCAGCUCAGUCUGAAUUCGUAGUCUACGAGGAACUGACUAUUGCCAGCGCUGGCGGAAUUUAAGAGACGUUGCCGGGUUAAACGCGAAAAUUUGCUGAU
rnacentral:rRNA from 1 species